UUUCUCCCGCAUUUCCUCAUUUCCUCAUCUUUGACCGAUUAAAACUUCAUUUAAACACCAUUUCACCUUCGAUCUACAUCUUCCACCGAUUAUAAUCACAUUCUACCCAUUAUAAUCCCUUUCCACCGUUUAAAACCCAUUUUCCACCAAUCAAUCGGUCCAUUUUAGGGUUCCUUGGUUCCUUUAGGGUUUUGCCCCGUUUAAAACCCCUUUCGACCGUUUAUAACCUCUUCCCACUGUUUAAAACACCUUUCGAGUUCUCUUUAUCAUUUUCAUCAUUCCCCUGCGUUCAUCAUCGGAGAAGCUUCGAGGAGGUCAGAUUCGCGGUCGCAUAGCUCCAAUAGGACUUCUCCUCGGGUGUUGGCUUGUUUUAAUUCUCAAGUGCUUGGAUGUAGAGUCGUCAUGAGUCGAAGAGAAGCGGCGUGGGAUGAACAAGGUCAGCAUCUGGCGAGACUCGAACUUGUCACGGGGUUGGUGUGCCAUCAUUGGUCUGCUUUCUAAAUAAGGUUGAUGCUGUUGAUGAUCCAGAGUUGCUUGAAGUUGUGGAACUGGAGCUUCGUGAACUUCUUAAUUUCUACAAAUUUCCUGGGGAUGAAAUUCCAAUUGUGCGAGGUUCUGCGCUCUCUGCACUACAGGGGACAAAUGAAGAACUUGGAAAGAAGGCUAUCUUAAAACUAAUGGAUGCUGUGGAUGAAUACAUUUCUAAUCCUUUUACAUGCUCCUAAUCAGAAACUUAGGGAGACAAUUGUUCCAAGUGCAAAAUCCUACUCGCUGGAAACUUAUGUCAGACUGCAGAGAUUACUUUCGACAAACCAACAGGCGGGUUUCCAGACUGCAGAUAUUACUUUCGGCAAACUAGCAGGCGGGUUUCCUUUGAAUAUGCACUUUUUUUUAUGAAUGUUUGGGAUAAGAACUAUUUUAUGUGUAAUUAGAUAAAUAUAUUUAAGAAUUUUAUUAGAUAAAUAUUAUAUUUUAA